rnacentral:rRNA from 1 species
UAGCUAGUUGGUGAGGUAAAGGCUUACCAAGGCGACGAUCUGUAGCGGGUCUGAGAGGAUGAUCCGCCACACUGGAACUGAGACACGGUCCAGACUCCUACGGGAGGCAGCAGUGGGGAAUUUUGGACAAUGGGGGCAACCCUGAUCCAGCCAUGCCGCGUGAGUGAAGAAGGCCUUCGGGUUGUAAAGCUCUUUCGGCCGGGAAGAAAUCGCAUGGGCCAAUACCCUGUGUGGAUGACGGUACCGGAAUAAGAAGCACCGGCUAACUACGUGCCAGCCCGCGGUAAUACGUAGGGUGCGAGCGUUAAUCGGAAUUACUGGGCGUAAAGCGUGCGCAGGCGGUUUUGUAAGACAGGCGUGAAAUCCCCGGGCUUAACCUGGGAACUGCGUUUGUGACUGCAAGGCUAGAGUACGGCAGAGGGGGGUGGAAUUCCACGUGUAGCAGUGAAAUGCGUAGAGAUGUGGAGGAACACCAAUGGCGAAGGCAGCCCCCUGGGUCGAUACUGACGCUCACGCACGAAAGCGUGGGUAGCAAACAGGAUUAGAUACCCUGGUAGUCCACGCCCUAAACUAUGUCAACUAGGUGUUGGGUGGGUAAAACCAUUUAGUACCGUAGCUAACGCGUGAAGUUGACCGCCUGGGGAGUACGGCCGCAAGGUUAAAACUCAAAGGAAUUGACGGGGACCCGCACAAGCGGUGGAUGAUGUGGAUUAAUUCGAUGCAACGCGAAAAACCUUACCUACCCUUGACAUGCCAGGAACUUGCCAGAGAUGGCUUGGUGCCCGAAAGGGAGCCUGGACACAGGUGCUGCAUGGCUGUCGUCAGCUCGUGUCGUGAGAUGUUGGGUUAAGUCCCGCAACGAGCGCAACCCUUGUCGUUAAUUGCCAUCAUUUAGUUGGGCACUUUAACGAGACUGCCGGUGACAAACCGGAGGAAGGUGGGGAUGACGUCAAGUCCUCAUGGCCCUUAUGGGUAGGGCUUCACACGUCAUACAAUGGUCGGUACAAAGGGUUGCCAAGCCGCGAGGCGGAGCCAAUCCCAGAAAGCCGAUCGUAGUCCGGAUUGCAGGCUGCAACUCGCCUGCAUGAAGUCGGAAUCGCUAGUAAUCGUGGAUCAGCAUGUCACGGUGAAUACGUUCCCGGGUCUUGUACACACCGCCCGUCACACCAUGGGAGCGGGUUCCGCCAGAAGUAGGUAGCCUAACCGCAAGGGGGGCGCUUACCACGGCGGGGUUCGUGACUGGGGUGAAGUCGUAACAAGGUAGCCGUAGGGGAACCUGCGGCUG